AUUGAACGCUGGCGGCAGGCCUAACACAUGCAAGUCGAACGGUAGCACAGGAGAGCUUGCUCUCUGGGUGACGAGUGGCGGACGGGUGAGUAAUGCAUGGGGAGCUGCCCAAUCGAGGGGGAUACCAGCUGGAAACGGCUGCUAAUACCGCAUACGCCCUGAGGGGGAAAGGUGGGGACCUUCGGGCCUACCGCGAUUGGAUGCACCCAUGUGGGAUUAGCUAGUUGGUGAGGUAACGGCUCACCAAGGCGACGAUCUCUAGCUGGUCUGAGAGGAUGACCAGCCACACUGGAACUGAGACACGGUCCAGACUCCUACGGGAGGCAGCAGUGGGGAAUAUUGCACAAUGGGGGAAACCCUGAUGCAGCCAUGCCGCGUGUGUGAAGAAGGCCU
rnacentral:rRNA from 1 species